CUAAGCCUCGGUUUUCUCUUUUGUAUAAAUCAUGCCUUUCAUGGAAUGGUUGCGAUGACUGUGAGAGGGCAUGUAAAAAGCUUAGUCUUUAGCCAUUUCCCUUCCCUUCUCUGUAUCUGCUAUCACUAGUUCAUAUUAGCCAAAUAGGACUAAUUUACCAAAUACCACUAUUGCUUUCCUUGAUCCUGUGAAGAAAAGUGAAGGACUUGAGUAAAGGAAAAAUCAUGAAAAAUGCAAAAGAUUGACAGUCAUUGUGAGCCUCACAUAGGUGCUCAUGCCAGCAUUUUCACCUCACUUGGUGCCUGGCUCCUAGUAAGUACUUGAUAAGUACUUAAUUAGAUGAAUGAGGACAGAUCUAGGGGAAGGAAUUGAUACAAAGAGGGGGGGCGUGAUUUAGAUUGACUAAAUUUAGCUAGCUGACAAAACAAGCUACCUGUCAGAAAGGUACUGUACAAAAAUAAAGGAGAGAGGGAGGAAAGAAAAGUGUGGUACCUCUGCACAUUUCAAAAGAUGCUGCAUACUGGAAAUGGGAGCUCUCAGAAUAAAUAUCAGACACCUAAGCUGAAGAAGUUUAUAGUAUAUUUGAAGACCAAAUGUGAUAGCAUAAUCUAAUAUAGUAGACUGUGAUGUCAAAUAGAAUGAUGAAAUCCUGAGAAGAGAGACCUGAUUAGAAUAAUCUACCAGUAUUUAGAUUGAGUAGGGAGCAACAAGACAAAUCCUUUGUUUUAAGAGUACUGAGGAAAUGUAACAGUGAUUAUGGGGUAGGGAGAGGAACAUUCUAAAGGACAAUAAAAGGCAGACAGGAUGACUAGUGGUGGAAAGAAGGGAAAAAAAUCUAAAUGUCUUAUCAAUAGAGGAAUAAUUACAUAUGCUAUAUCCUAUUAUGGAGUACUAUUCAGCUGUUAAAAUGAUAAAUUAUCAAUGGAAAAAAGCAGUGUCUGAACAAUAUGUUCUGUUUUUCUUAAUAGAAAACUAUGUUAGUGUAUAAUUACGUGUAAAGGAAGAGGAGGCACUCCAGACUUAACAGUGAUUACUUCAUGUUAAGAAUUGUGAAGAUUUUACAUAUUUGCAAGCUAACAAUUUAACUUGCCAGCUUCAUGGAUCUUGGCAGAAAGCACUAGGCUUCUGUGCCAGAGACAAAGGACUUUUGUUAACACGCAAGCAAAAUGAGCUUCAUGCUCCCCUUGUUCUCAAAGCCCAGAGAAGUAAUGUGGAGAGUGGGUGGCUGCUGCUCACACAGUGGGUUUGCAUCCUAGCAGAGGAACCCCAAGCUUAGGAAAACCAAGUCUUUGCCCAGCCUUGCCCCAGAGUGAGGCAAUAUCUUUAUUAUCCUGGUCAGGAAUCAAAUCUGCUCCAAAAGGAGGUACAAACAUCUUUGAAAAGAUAAUCUGAAAGAAAAUCUGUCAGGAGCCUUGGGAAAAUUUGAGAGAUCCUUGGAGAAUUGUCUCCCAACCCUAUGGGUAAUAGUAUCUGGGAGUAGAGGAGAAGCCAGCUUUAUUUUUUUUUAACUUUAUAUACAUCAAGAUUCUAGGAGUGAGUUCCCAUUGUGGCUCAGUGGUAACGAACCCAACUAGUAUCCAUGAGGAUGUGGGUUUAAUCCCUGGUCCCACUCAGUAGAUUAAGGAUCCAGUAUUGCUGUGAGUGGAGGUAUAGGUCACAGACGCGAUUCAGAUCUGGCACUGCUGUGGCUGUGGCAUAGGCCUGCAACUGCAGCUCCAAUUCAUCCCCUAGCCUGGGCACUUCCAUAUGCCGCAAGUGUAGCCCUAAAAAGAAAAAAAGAAAAAAAAAAGAUUCUAAGGGUUUUAAAAAUCUUUUUAUUAAAGUAUAGUUGAUUUUCAGAGUUCCCAUUGUGGCUCAGUGGUUAACGAAUCCGACUAGGAACCAUGAGGUUGUGGGUUCGAUCUCUGGCCUUGCUCAGUGGGUUAAGGAUCCAGCGUUGCCGUGAGCUGUGGUGUAGGUUGCAGACGCGGCUCAGAUCCCGUGUUGCUGUGGCUCUGGCCUAGGCCGGCGGCUACAGCUCCAAUUCGACCCCUAGCCUGAGAACCUCCAUAUGCCGCGGGAGCGGCCCUAGAAAAGGCAAAAAGACAAUAAUAAUAUUAUCAUAUUUUGUUAUUUUAACUUUUAAAAAUAUAAUAAGAAAUAAAAGGCAAACAGAGAAGUUUAAAUUUGUUUUAGUAAGGGACAAGGAGCCACUCAGAGUCAGUGACUGGAGGAAUGAUAGUGAUAUUUAAGGAACAUAAAUCAAUUAAUAAUAUCUAGGAUGGACUAGAGUUUAUAAAGUCUAUCUCAAGGCUGCAAUCGUGUAGCUAUAAGAUAAUUAGAACCGGGGCGUUCCCGUCGUGGCGCAGUGGUUAACGAAUCCGACUAGGAACCAUGAGGUUGCAGGUUCGGUCCCUGUCCUUGCUCAGUGGGUUAAUGGUCCGGCGUUGCCAUGAGCUGUGGUGUAGGACAGUAGCUGUAGCUCCCAUUAGACCCCGAGCCUGGGAACCUCCAUAUGCCCCAGGUGUGGCCUUAAAAAGCAAAUAAUAAUAAUAAUAAUAAUAAUAAUUUUUUUCAUUCAUUUAAGAGGGUUCUUCGGAGGGAAAGGAAGUAUAUAUAGAUAUCACUCUUUCAACUUGAACUUGAAACAAGCCAUGUUUUCCCAUACCAUCCUCUCAUUUUCUCAUUUUAACACAUCUCAUUUUUGUAUUCAUAGAGAAGGCUUUCUGAUUAAAGUGAAAUUUGAGCCAGAUGUUGAAGAAUGGACAGAAUUUAGGUAAGUGGAGAGUAGUAGGAAGUACACUGUAGCAGAGAGGUCAAUAUGAUCGAAAUUGUGAUGCUGAAUGAAGUAGCAGAUAUGAGAAUCAAGCCACCAUCUAUUAAGCCAGACAUUAGAGUUUGCAAAAAAUGUGAAAUGAUUCCACUCUUUUUAAUAACAUAUUUUGUUUUUGAAAACAGAGUUAAAUUUCAUAAAAUAAUAAAUUAACAACAUAGUUAACAUGUAAUGGGUAUGUUAUUGUUAUUUUAAAGAAUAAGUAUUUUUCUCAGUUUUAAUUUCGAACAUAGAAAAACAUGAUGGAUAUGCCCCACAUAAACAUAAGCUCUUUGGAGUCCUUACUAAUUUAAGAGUAUAAAAAGAGACCAGAAUGUUUGAGAAUUAAUAUGCUAGUCCAUACACUACGUUUAUGUGAAGCGAUGCUUCUGAAACUAAAAUGUAGAGCAACUAUGGAAAAUCCAGGGACACCUUUGAGGCUCUGGGUGUAGAAAAUAUUUGGAACCUUAUCAGAAACAUGUUGCCUGCUUACGCAAAUAGGGCAGUUACAAGUAACUGGAGUUUAACUUUUUUAACCGGAGUUUAACUUUAGUAGGGCUG
rnacentral:lncRNA from 1 species